rnacentral:lncRNA from 1 species
UAAGUAUUUAAUUCACAUCAUAUUACAUAAAAAAGUUAAGAUCCAAAUCGCAUCAUAAAAUAAAUGGAAGACAAAUCAUACUAUAUAUUCAAUCAUCUCUGCCAAAUUGCCCUCUAAACACGCAUGAUAGUAAAAAAUAACACCAACUCACGAGUUUGACACGACAAUAGGCAAGUUGAAAAGCAAUAUUUAGGUAACUAAAAACCACAUGUGUUGUCAUGAUGAUUGCAAUGUAUGAUUCAAUAAUUAUUUCCAUCACAAAAGGAUGGUCUUCAUGCACCUUCUGGUUUGGACUAGGACUGCUGAGUUGCUUACUGACUUGCUUGAGCCCUUACGAGAAAACCAAUGAGGUUAUCCGUCUCCUAUUGAUUCUUUUGUUGUGCUUCAUUCUUCUCUUGCUGGCUCUUCUUCACAUCUUCCAAUUCUUCUUGUUGCUUCCUCUGUGUCUCUUCACAUGCUCUUGCUUGGUGGCAUUAGUUUAAUAACCGAAGCUGGAAAAGCUGGGACACAGUCAGGGAGAAAUAGACAGCAAGCCAUGAAAAGCAAGACCAGAAUGUUCAGAACAAAAAAGCAAAAAAUAUGAUUACUGUAGCUGCCGGCAUAGUUGGGAAAACCAGAAACUUUACUAUACUCUUCCAAAAUUAAGGCUCAAUGGAUGGCGCUGUAUGUUUGUAAAGUAGAAGCAACUUGAUUUACCCAGUUUAGUAUGUCAUAAUAUAGUCAAAAACUGAAGUUUACAAUGUAUCUGCUUUUAUCAAGUUCUAUGCGUACUGAAAAUGCUUGUGGGCUUCAGUCGCUUAACAUCAUGGGUAGCUAAUAAAUUAGGAGAGGCAUGGCAAAUAUUAAGUUUAGUUCUCUUUUAUGUAGUAGUGGAGAGAAAAGCACACUGGUGUAGGGUUAUACAUCUCUGUAACGAGUCAAAAUCAAGUGCAGUCUUAGUCUUUAUUCAGUUUUAAAAAGCACUAGUGAACAUGGUUUUCGAGUCGUGAAAAAGCCGAGCCUGCAGUUGCGGCUAGUCGCGACUCGCGACUCGAGUCGACCUAAGUUGAGUCGACAUUUUUUGACUCAUCGACUACUCCACGACUAGGCGAGCGACUCAAAAACCAUGCUAGUGAAGGACUAUUUAUGGGGCAGCAGAACCAUAAGUUUCAGGUUUUAGCAUAGAUAAAGUAGUUGCAUCCAAAAGCUAGUUUAUUCGGACAUGUAGAUACAGGGAUGCAAGGAUGUGCUGCUUCCUGCUUCUACUUAGUUCUCCUUUUAUAUGCUGCAUACUUUAGUUAAUGUGUUUAUGUUCAUCUGAUUAUGACACCAUUCACUAUUCAGCAACCAAGAGGAUCUAGUUUUUGUCAUUACAGCAGGGUACAACAAUCAGAUGGUUAACAUAUAAUUUUCUUUUAUAUGCGAGAGUAGCCAUACAAGCACAUGGCUGCAAAAGAAAUAUCUUAGCUAAGGCCAUGCAUCUGAUAGCUAACUGAACUUUUGCAGAACUGCUAACUGUACCGCUGUAGCAUAUAUUCAGGUUUAGGCCUUUUUUACAAUAGCAGGCUAUAACAAAUGCAAAACCAUGUUCACUAGUGCAGCUUUACACACACCUAUCAAUAGGAUAUCAACUAAACUUAAUUGGCAGGAGGUUCAGGCUUUUUACCAUAGCAAGUUGUGGCAAAUCCGAAUUACAUAAAAGGGUAGGAUGAGGAGUAGUAUGCAUGAACCCGAACCAUUGAACAUCAAGUGGUGGAGAGAUGAGGAGGGUAGGAUGAGUAUAUCACCAAGAGAUGUCACACAUCGCAGUGGAGAAGAGAGCCGGGUGGUCGAGGCGGGUUAAUGCGGUGGAUCCAAGCUCGGCAGUGCGAUGGCUUCCUUCAAUCUGAAAAUUGAAGUUUCAAGUCCAAAUCUGAAGUACAACUUAAUAAAACUACCAAAGAUGUCUUUUGGUAGAUACCUGAAUCUUACAAAAACACAAUUUAGGACUUGUAUGAAACCAAUGUGUGGAGCCUGGCAGUUGCACUAGACAUCCAAAUAAAAUAUACCAUUGUACUAAAUAUAAGCCAUUUCGUGUUCCAUUAUACUGAAUCCUGGAAUUGAUCUUCUCUGUACCUAUGCAAUACUUCUAGAAAAUUUGAGAUGGCCAAGACAUUGAUGUAUGAUGCUUUUGAGGAUCUGUUGCAAAACCAGAAUGCACUAUGCUAUAUAUAUACGCAUAUUUUUCACUGUUGCAAAGCCAAACAGGGCCUCCAGAACCGGAGGGCCCCCAAUUCUUUUUUAAUCAAAGCUUUAAAUGAAGCAUUACAUACUAGAAGUAAAGAACUAAUGAAAAUAAUUUUUGCCAACCCAACCCAACCCCUGUAUAUCUCUCUCUAAUCACAAUGCAUCAAUUCCUCUAGGCGCUUUAUAUCUGCCCCUCUCUCUCAAUUACUAUUUACUGGUCUUUUCUGAACCUGUGUAGUCAACCGGUGUAAUCUUUUGUCGAAAAACUACAUUGACUGCAAAAAAAAGAUUUUUCUUUUUCAUAGAUAGGGCCUAAUUUUGAUUUGCAAAUGGACUCCGAUUUCUCUUGUGCGACCCUCAAUAACAUCCAUGAAAAUAUGGUGCAUCCGCAAUUAAGUUAAAUAACAUAUCAGAAUGUACAAUAUGAACUUAAUAUAAUGAACCCUAAUCAUUGCAGAUUACAAACUUUGUAAAAUCCUAAUUAGCGAGAUGGGCAGGAUGAGGAGUGUUAUGCAUGAACCCUAUUCUUUGAACACUAGGGGCUGGCAAGAUGAGGAGGGCAGAAUGAGGAAAUUAACAAGAGAGACGUCGCUGGUCGCUUCAAUCGGGGGGACAAGAGGGCCGGGUUCUCACGGGGAUGGUCGGUGCGGUGGAUCCCAGCUCGGCCGGUGGGGCGGCCUGCUCCAAUCUCCCAUCGGCGGCAGCUGCAAUCCAGGGAGAAGAGGGGGUGCUCGCGGGGCAAGUUGUUGCGCUGGAUCCGAGCGCCGCCUGGGCGCAGGCGACAUCCCCCAAAGUGUCGUCGCCGGUCGUUGCAAUCUGGGGAAGAAGAGAGCCAGAUGAAUCUAUCUACGAAGAAAAUGCGGGGUGGGUUGUGGCUUUAGCGGUGUCCCUCCGCGGGUGAAUUGGAAGGGAAGGGAAUUUGGC